GGGCGUGUGCCGGAGUGGCCAAUCGGGCCAGACUGUAAAUCUGGUGGCUUAACGCCUUCGGUGGUUCGAAUCCACCCGCGCCCA
rnacentral:tRNA from 1 species